rnacentral:tRNA from 1 species
GGGUAUAGCUCAGUGGUAGAGUGAAUGUCUAGCAUGCACAAGGUCCUGGGUUAAACCCCCAGUACCUCCA